GAUGAACGCUGACAGCAUGCUUAACACAUCAGCAAUUGAUUGGUGGCGGACGGGUGAGUAACGCCUAAAGAACUUCCCUCACAGGUAGUGCCAACAUGUGGAAACUAAUGCUAAUACCUAAUACUGUGAGAGAUCGUUUCGUCCCAUUAGCUCGUUGGAGAGGUAACGGCUCACAAAGGCGAUGAUGGGUAGCCGGCCUGAGAGGGUGAUCGGCCACAAGGGGACUGGGACACGGCCAUUACUCAUACGGGAGGCAGCAGUGGGGAAUAUUGGACAAUGGACCAAAGUCUGAUCCAGCAAUUCUGUGUGCACGAUGAAGUUUUCGGAAUGUAAAGUGCUUUCAGUUGGGAAGCGGUACCAACAGAAGAAGUGACGGCUAACUACGUGCCAGCAGCCGCGGUAAUUC
rnacentral:rRNA from 1 species